rnacentral:lncRNA from 1 species
ACCAACAUAGUUCACUAACAGCAAGUAUGAUUACGUUAACUCCACUUCAAUCAUCUACAACUGUUAACAUUCACUUAAAAACCACGUCAGGAUCUUUAUCUUUCAAAACCCGACAAUAUUCAUCAGGUGAAAAUAUAACUGCUGUCAUCAACAAGUAUGACACGUUAGAGAUUUCGCACACUUUUGAUUUGACCGGGACAUAUGUAACAAGCUCGGACCCAUUAGCUGUUGUGAGCGGUAAUAAAUGUAGUUAUAUAAAUGGCAUUGGCGGCUGCAAUACUUUUAUUGAAAUGGCAUUACCAAUUGAACAACUAGACAAAAUAUACAUGUUCCGCACAUUGAAACUCGUGCAAGAAGCACGGUUCGAUUGCUAAGUUUACUUCCCUCUACAAUAACUAUCAAAAACACAACUAAUAAUGUAAUGGUGAAGAACAAUGCAGAUAGAGAUUAUAUGGACUUUACUCACAGCACAAUAUCAUAUAUUAAUGCAACGAAUGAUAUCUAUGUUACAAUGUAUCCUCAUGAGAUAGCAGACAGUAAAGGAGAUGCUUUUAUGAUGACAAUACAUGGCAUUAACCAAUAUCUUCCGCAUUACAACUUUAUUGUUCCACAAGAGUUCACGAGCUUUAUAAGUGUCACUGUUUUAACUAACGAACUGAAUUGGUUCAUGCUAGAUGGCCAGAGUGUUACGACCAAAAAUGUUCAUACAUUAUCUACUGAAUCUGGUAGCCAUAGUUCCUUUUCAAUGCCAAUUACAAGUGGUGAACAUAUUAUUACACAUGUCAAUAAUACAGAAUUUGGGCUUUGGGUGUACGGAAAUGCACGCUAUGACGCAUAUGGAUAUCCAGCUGGAAUAAAGUUUAGAACAGUUUAACCGAUCUGAAACGGGAACA